AUUGAACGCUGGCGGCAGGCUUAACACAUGCAAGUCGAGCGGGGUGAUGGUGCUUGCACUAUCACUUAGCGGCGGACGGGUGAGUAAUGCUUAGGAAUCUGCCUAUUAGUGGGGGACAACAUCUCGAAAGGGAUGCUAAUACCGCAUACGUCCUAUGGGAGAAAGCAGGGGAUCACUUGUGACCUUGCGCUAAUAGAUGAGCCUAAGUCGGAUUAGCUAGUUGGUGGGGUAAAGGCCUACCAAGGCGACGAUCUGUAGCGGGUCUGAGAGGAUGAUCCGCCACACUGGGACUGAGACACGGCCCAGACUCCUACGGGAGGCAGCAGUGGGGAAUAUUGGACAAUGGGGGGAACCCUGAUCCAGCCAUGCCGCGUGUGUGAAGAAGGCCUUAUGGUUGUAAAGCACUUUAAGCGAGGAGGAGGCCCUUUUGGUUAAUACCCAAGAUGAGUGGACGUUACUCGCAGAAUAAGCACCGGCUAACUCUGUGCCAGCCGCCGCGGUAA
rnacentral:rRNA from 1 species